GGGCGUUUAGCUCAGCUGGUUCAGAGCAUCUGCCUUACAAACAGAGGGUCGGCGGUUCGAAUCCGUCAACGCCCA
rnacentral:tRNA from 1 species